rnacentral:rRNA from 1 species
ACGCUGGCGGCGUGCCUAAUACAUGCAAGUAGAACGCUGAAGAGAGGAGCUUGCUCUUCUUGAAUGAGUUGCGAACGGGUGAGUAACGCGUAGGUAACCUGCCUUGUAGCGGGGGAUAACUAUUGGAAACGAUAGCUAAUACCGCAUAACAAUGGGUGACACAUGUCAUUUAUUUGAAAGGGGCAAUUGCUCCACUACAAGAUGGACCUGCGUUGUAUUAGCUAGUAGGUGAGGUAACGGCUCACCUAGGCGACGAUACAUAGCCGACCUGAGAGGGUGAUCGGCCACACUGGGACUGAGACACGGCCCAGACUCCUACGGGAGGCAGCAGUAGGGAACCUUCGGCAAUGGGGGCAACCCUGACCGAGCAACGCCGCGUGAGUGAAGAAGGUUUUCGGAUCGUAAAGCUCUGUUGUAAGUCAAGAACGAGUGUGAGAGUGGAAAGUUCACACUGUGACGGUAGCUUACCAGAAAGGGACGGCUAACUACGUGCCAGCAGCCGCGGUAAUACGUAGGUCCCGAGCGUUGUCCGGAUUUAUUGGGCGUAAAGCGAGCGCAGGCGGUUUGAUAAGUCUGAAGUUAAAGGCUGUGGCUCAACCAUAGUUCGCUUUGGAAACUGUCAAACUUGAGUGCAGAAGGGGAGAGUGGAAUUCCAUGUGUAGCGGUGAAAUGCGUAGAUAUAUGGAGGAACACCGGUGGCGAAAGCGGCUCUCUGGUCUGUAACUGACGCUGAGGCUCGAAAGCGUGGGGAGCGAACAGGAUUAGAUACCCUGGUAGUCCACGCCGUAAACGAUGAGUGCUAGGUGUUGGAUCCUUUCCGGGAUUCAGUGCCGCAGCUAACGCAUUAAGCACUCCGCCUGGGGAGUACGACCGCAAGGUUGAAACUCAAAGGAAUUGACGGGGGCCCGCAC